rnacentral:lncRNA from 1 species
GAUGAUUCUGAUCUAAAUUUCAUUGAAUUUGGUUGAGAUUUGAAGAAGUUAUGUGAAAUUAAAGUUUGAUGUUCAUAGAUGUUUUGCUUCGAUUCUUAAAAUACAUGAUGAUUUGGACUGAAAUGAUGUUAGAUUCGUAUUCCUCAUGUGAUAACCUUUCGAAUGAUGUAUAUUUGGUGCAAAUCUGGAAAAAAAAAAUUCACGUGGUACUGUUCAAC